rnacentral:rRNA from 1 species
UACGUAGGGGGCAAGCGUUGUUCGGAAUUACUGGGCGUAAAGGGCUCGUAGGCGGCCAACUAAGUCAGACGUGAAAUCCCUCGGCUUAACCGGGGAACUGCGUCUGAUACUGGAUGGCUGGAGUUUGGGAGAGGGAUGCGGAAUUCCAGGUGUAGCGGUGAAAUGCGUAGAUAUCUGGAGGAACACCGGUGGCGAAGGCGGCAUCCUGGACCGGUAUUGACGCUGAGGCGCGAAAGCUAGGGGAGCAAACGGG